UACGAAGGGGGCUAGCGUUGCUCGGAAUCACUGGGCGUAAAGCGCACGUAGGCGGGUCCUUAAGUCGGGGGUGAAAUCCUGGAGCUCAACUCCGGAACUGCCUUUGAUACUGGCAACCUAGAGACUGGAAGAGGUUAGUGGAAUUCCCAGUGUAGAGGUGAAAUUCGUAGAUAUUGGGAAGAACACCAGUGGCGAAGGCGGCUAACUGGUCCAGCACUGACGCUGAGGUGCGAAAGCGUGGGGAGCAAACAGG
rnacentral:rRNA from 1 species